UUUUAAUUAGUUUUUUUAUGGCUUUGCUUUGGCUAUUUCACUUAACUUAUCCAAGGGGCAUGACUUUCAGAAACAAUAACUUUGGUCUUAUUUUCAUUUGGGGUGAGAGAAUUCUGUGUUAACCAGUCUUUAACAUCAUGCAGACAGUUAAGCAAAGGCUGCAGUGGGACAGAGACAUCCUGAUUCAAGGGGAAGCAAAUUUGGAUGCCAUCAGCAUAACAAUGAAAGGGAAUGUUGUAUUUCCUAAAUAUAGGAAUAAAAAUAAAAAA